UCUACUCUGCAUUUAAAUUUUACUUAAAGUUUCUGCAAUUUGUUCGUGCUGUUUGGCAAAAAUAUGAAAUUAUUGUUUAAAAGAUUUAAACUUUUCAUAUUUAUGUGUGAUAGAAUUACGUAACGAAUUUUAAGGUUUUUUUUUUACUAUUUUUAGGGAAGGUUGUUAGAUGCUUCGUUCUCAUUACUAGAUUCUGCUUGAAGAGACUUUGCCAUCUACGUUGAAUCUUUGUUACUCAAGUUCGACCAUUUAUCCAUGGGACUUUUCGAAGUCAGGAAGCUGAAGAAAUGCACAGUGCCAUCACCAGGAUUCGAACUCCGGACCUCCCGAAUACGCUUCGUGUGUGCUUCUGUUUACACUACGGCGUGCGGUAAGGAGGAAGCAAAUACCUUACAUACACCCCCUUUUAAAGAACGACUAGGGAUGAGGGGACCCAAUUACCAAAUCCUGGUGGUAACAGAUUAUUGUCCACCACCUUUUAGUUCGGUCACCUCUUGUACAGUCUUUUAGAAAUUUUCUUGUCAAGAAACUGAAGAAAUCUGCACUGCCUUCUACGGAACUCGAACUUCGCGCCCCUCUCGAAGGCGAUACAUGUCGAGUGUGCUUCCAGUUACAUGAUGAAGGCAAGCGAAGAGGAGGUAGAAAAUACCUUAUAAAUUUCAUGAGUUGAUUUAUGUUGUUAAUUUUAAUGCUCAUUCAUUGUUACGCAAAAUUUGAAUUACAUUGUAAAAUAGAAACAAUAAAAUAAUUGAUCCACCUUUA